GAUGAACGCUGGCGGCGUGCCUAAUACAUGCAAGUCGAGCGAACGGACGAGAAGCUUGCUUCUCUGAUGUUAGCGGCGGACGGGUGAGUAACACGUGGAUAACCUACCUAUAAGACUGGGAUAACUUCGGGAAACCGGAGCUAAUACCGGAUAAUAUUUUGAACCGCAUGGUUCAAAAGUGAAAGACGGUCUUGCUGUCACUUAUAGAUGGAUCCGCGCUGCAUUAGCUAGUUGGUAAGGUAACGGCUUACCAAGGCAACGAUGCAUAGCCGACCUGAGAGGGUGAUCGGCCACACUGGAACUGAGACACGGUCCAGACUCCUACGGGAGGCAGCAGUAGGGAAUCUUCCGCGAUGGGCGAAAGCCUGACGGAGCAACGCCGCGUGAGUGAUGAAGGUCUUCGGAUCGUAAAACUCUGUUAUUAGGGAAGAACAAAUGUGUAAGUAACUGUGCACGUCUUGACGGUACCUAAUCAGAAAGCCACGGCUAACUACGUG
rnacentral:rRNA from 1 species